UUCACAUGUCAUCUCCAUGGAAGAGAUUGAAAUUCAACCAUACUUGACAUAUGCAGAAGAACCCAUAUGGAUACUGGCUCAGGAAGUGAAGGAAUUGAGAAAUGAACAUAUUCCACUGGUGAAAGUACUUUGGAGGCACCAUAAUACCGAGGAGGUAACUUGGAAAAGUGAAGAGAUGAUGAGGCAACAGUUCCCUCAACU
rnacentral:misc_RNA from 1 species